AGCGAACGCUGGCGGCAGGCCUAACACAUGCAAGUCGAACGAACUCUUCGGAGUUAGUGGCGGACGGGUGAGUAACACGUGGGAACGUGCAUUUUGGUUCGGAAUAACUCAGGGAAACUUGUGCUAAUACCGAAUGUGCCCUUCGGGGGCAAGAUUUAUCGCCAUUAGAGCGGCCCGCGUCUGAUUAGCUAGUUCGUUAGGUAACGGCUCACCAAGGCGACGAUCAGUAGCUGGUCUGAGAGGAUGACCCGCCACCCUGGGACUGUGACCCGGCCCAGACUCCUACGGGAGGCAGCAGUGGGGAAUCUUGCGCAAUGGGCGAAAGCCUGACGCAGCCAUGCCGCGUGAAUGAUGAAGGUCUUAGGAUUGUAAAAUUCUUUCACCGGGGACGAUAAUGACGGUACCCGGAGAAGAAGCCCCGGCUAACUUCGUG
rnacentral:rRNA from 1 species